UACGUAGGGUGCUAGCGUUGUUCGGAAUCAUUGGGCGUAAAGCGCGUGUAGGUGGUUGUGUAAGUCGGAUGUGAAAUCCCUGGGCUCAACCGAGGAAGUGCAUCUGAAACUACACAGCUCGAGGACGGUAGAGGAAGGUGGAAUUCCUAGUGUAGAGGUGAAAUUCGUAGAUAUUAGGAGGAAUACCGGCGGCGAAGGCGGCCUUCUGGGCCGUUCCUGACACUGAGACGCGAAAGCGUGGGUAGCAAACAGG
rnacentral:rRNA from 1 species